CUGAUAUACCGGUAACACGUUGCUGAUAUUAUGUUUGAUUUAAAAAAAAAAAAUCAAGUUUUUAUUUUCGAUAUGUUUUCUUACAUUGCUAGAAAAUACCCCAAAAUACUUCUGUUGGAUUUUUUUGUUUGUUUUUGAAAGGGGGUUAAAGGGACAAAAUAUUGGCGAGUAGACUGAAUGUCGGUUUCUGACAUAAGGCAAGGGCAGGAGAUUUAUCCUCUUAAAUAAACUUUAAACAAAAUUUGAUUUGUAAAAUAAAUAUAAAUAUUUGGAUAACUACUGGUGAGUUGAUUAAUAAUUAUGCAUCAUAUUUUUUUUCAUGUUUACAGCAAUUGUGUUUUCAUCAUUUUGGUGCUUGUUCAAUAUCUCUGUCCAUGAUUUUUAAGCUUGAAUUUAAAUGUCUUAAAAGAAUUAUGUAUGUUAUUCUAAACACCUGUAUACAUGUUUAAAUAAUUUUUCCAUUUGAAUGUAAAAUAUGCAAUGAUUGAGGUCACAUUAACUGCUGCAUUGCAAUAAAUGUCACUAUUAUUGAUUUCCCCGGUAUCAGGAUUAGGAUUGACAAACUUUAACCAAUUUCAAUCAUUAGAAUAAAUGAUCAUGGAUCUCGGUUUCAGCCUUAAAACCCAGGUUGUUCUUUGUUUGUUUGGGUUUUUUUAACAUUGGUUGUGUGGUGCUGCUGAAGGCAUUAUUACCUUGGUAGAUGCUUAUUUACCGAGGUGUCAAUCAAUCAAAUUACCGUAGGCAGACUUAUUUAACUGUAGCAAGAGGUACCUGCAUUUUACUUUCAAAUUAUGUGCAAUUUGAAUUUCGGUACUUGCAUUUUUGUAUCAAAUCAUCAUAAUUAAAAAUUAAGCAUUUUACAAAUGAUUUAGAAGUUUGCAUGUCAUAAUCUACCUAAUGAGUGCCCAUGUCCCUUAUAGUGCUUUUGUUAGGGAUUGUUUCUCACUGCAUGAUCUUUUUUCCAUAAAUCAUGGACUCCCUUUUCUUUUGAAGCAAAGAACACAUGUAAUAACAUUUGUGAAUGAUUUGUCUAAAAUUGUCUUAAUUUACCAGUAAAUUACUAAAUAGAUAAAACUGUAUUUUAAGAAAAAUGAAUGAUAUACUGCAUGUAUACUAGAUUAGGUUUUUAAACUUAUGAUGAUUAAAUCUAAUUCUUAACUUGUUUUGUAAAAUGAAAAAGAAAUUGUGAAAUCAAAACAACUGCUCCUUUUUUGCAAUUUCCUAUUUAGGGACAAUGGGCACUAGGUUGGAAGAAUAUGCCUUGGUAUUUUAAAUUGUCGGUAAAUCUGUUUUGUUUUUUUCUCACUAUGAUAUUACUGUUUAAAUCAUGCAAUUUGCCACUUGCUUUUGAACAGCAUUUUUUCUUAUUUUUGCAAGAGAGGCACUUGUAUAACUUAUAAAUGUUUUUGGGUUUUUUAGACUGCAAUACCUAUGCAAGUUUUUUCAAUAAUCUUGAGCAAUUGUUGCUGAACUUUCAAUAUUGAACAAUAUACUAAAGCUUAAGUUUCCUUUGUUAUUUUGUGAUCGGCAUUCUUUGGUGUAUGUUGAUUAUUUUUAUAGCUGAAACAACACUGAAAAUUAGAUUAUAAUUUCAGUAUUAUGUACAGUAUAUGUAUGUUUUAUUUUUCAAGACUCAAAACCCAGAAUUUAUCUUUAGUUUCUUAUAAGUAUGAUAACAAAAAUUAACAUUUGUGAAUUCUGUAGUUUAACUUGAAAGCUUUUUUUUUUUUAACUUGAAAAGUGAACAAUGAUUGAGUGUUCCAUAUUGAAAUAGGUGUUUUAAUUAAUUAAUUUUAAUCAAUUUGUACAGAAUUUCCAAUGGAUUGUACCUUAUUAUUCCUGCCAUCAAAAAAAACUGGUAGUGUAUUAUUAAGUUGUGAAAAUAUGUAUAGGAAAAAACAAUUUGUGAACCAAAGGCCAGUGUAUCAAUUUAAAAUGAAAAUUAUCUAUUUAUCUCACUGAUAAUCUGUUAAUUCUAAAUCAUAUGCUUUUGUUCAUAAAAAGAGAAUAUGUAUAGGAAAUAAAAAUUCCAUGUUUUGUUAGCCAAAAUUUAAGGCUAGUGUAUCAAUUUUAAAAUGAAAAUUAUCUAUAUAUCUUCCUGAUAAGUUGUUUACUAGUAUUCUAAAUCAUAUGCUUUGGUUCAUAGAAAAGAGAACAGGAAAUUGUUAUUGUCAUCUGACAUAUUGUGAUUUCAUGGUCUGUUUUCCUGGAAGUUGGGCAGGAAGGAUGGAAAUGAAAGAUAUACCUGUUUGUCACAUAUCAGAUAUAUACUAGCAUGAAUAUGUGUAAUUUAAGGACAGGGAAACUCAUUCAGGUUUUGGUGCAUUGAUCAUAUUAAGAAUAUGACUCUUAAAUUUUUGGUUGUUGGAACUGAGUCAUGAAUUUCAAUUGUGAUAAUUAAGCUUCAAGUAUUUGGUGUAAAUUCUAUAUCUUUUUUUAUUUAAAAGGAAAACAAAAAUAAGUUGUACAUUGUUUUGUUUUGUUUUUCUGAUGCUUUGUAUUAUAAUGGUGACGGUGGAUUUGCAGAGAACUGUGUUAGCCAAACUGUGGACCAUUUGAAACCUAUAACCUUUAGUGAUGUUCCUCUUACAUGUACACCGUACAUGUAAAGAAUGUUACAGACUGUCAAGUUCAAAGAUUUCCUUAAUAAAUGGAAAGUCUCUUCAAA